rnacentral:sRNA from 1 species
GCUGGGUGCAGUAGUGCACACCUGUGAUCCUAGUGACUCAGGAGGCUGAGGCAGGAGGAUUGCAAGUUCAAGGCCAGUCUCAGCAAUUUAGCAAGGCCCUCAGUAACUUAGUGAGAACCUGUCUCAA